rnacentral:lncRNA from 1 species
GUCACAGUCAGAGUCGCACAGUAGGCAGCCUUAAGAAUCAGCGUGUUGAAACACACAAGAGCUUUGAGCUCAGACGUAAGGGCCGUGCUGAGCACAGCGAACGGCAGAGAGAAUCAGAACAGUGCAAGGAGGGCCUUCUGGCUUCCCCAAACUCCACGGAAGUCUCGAUUCGCAUCCUGGGGCUGCUCCUACUUCCCUUUUCUCAGGGUCUGCGCUCCCUCCCUGGAACAGCUGGGCCCAGGUCUCCCUCCAGGGAGCGUUCGGAUGGAGCACGGCCACCCACCAUCAUGACUAAAGAUCAAAAAGAGCAAAACAGAACAAGACCUCAGGUCUCCGGGCCAUUUCCCCCUUCAGAGGCGGAGAGCAGCACAUCAAAACCAGAAGAUGAGCCAGAAGGGAUCGGCUACCCUCAGGGGUUCCUGAUGACAAACUCUGGUUUCUGGGGAUCUCACCUGUGCCUGGGGGGCCCCGGGCACUGUGCUGAGCAAGAUGCAAAGAGCCCCAAGUCCCACCCACCCAGAGAGUGCAGCUGGGAGGUGAGUGUGGACAAUGGUGAAAUCACCCCCAUAUAGGGGUCGGAUCCGAGGAUGGGU